rnacentral:rRNA from 1 species
UACGUAGGGCGCAAGCGUUGUCCGGAAUUAUAGGGCGUAAAGAGCUCGUAGGCGGUUUGUCGCGUCUGCUGUGAAAUCCCGAGGCUCAACCUCGGGCUUGCAGUGGGUACGGGCAGACUAGAGUGCGGUAGGGGAGACUGGAAUUCCUGGUGUAGCGGUGGAAUGCGCAGAUAUCAGGAGGAACACCGAUGGCGAAGGCAGGUCUCUGGGCCGCAACUGACGCUGAGGAGCGAAAGCAUGGGGAGCGAACAGG